AUUAUUGAUUAUAUUAUUAGUAACUUACUAGAGAUAUGAUUCUUAGGUUCAUAUGUAUGUGGAUGAUUGUGAGAAGGUUACUACUCAUUAUCAGGUUCGUGGAAACCUUCUAAACAUAACCACAAGAAAAAAAACUGCACUAGAUAUAGCACAAUAUAGAUUUGGGCUUCCUUAACCAUUUCUGCAAUCUUGUUUUUGUGUUAUGAAAUGGAUGAAUUGAUUAGAUACAAAAGGGAAAGAGCUACUAGAGAAAAGACCGUUUUGCAGACACAAUUCUAAAAGCACUCCACCAGGACGAAAAAGCGGACCCCAUCAACUUGAAAACCAAAAAAGGAAAUGAAUCAAGAAAAUGAAACUUAAAGAAAACGAAGAGGAAGUGUUGUCAUUGUUAGACCCUUUUGUUGGAUUGUUAUGCAGUUGCUUAAGCUCAAAGUAUGAAGAUAAUAGAAAAACUACACUUUUUGUUAUGAUGUACGAAUGUUCAAGCAUAAUGUCUGGUGAAAUACGAAAAUUCCCUGAAGUUCUUCAUUUAUCUUCUAAUGGCAUCAUAUAUCUAUCAAAUGAAGUAAUGGCAAAAGAAAAAUCCUUACAUUCACUCAUUACAUUUGAAGGCUUUUCAAGAAUUCCUACCCCUGAUUACAUAUUCGAACAGAGGUAUCUCAGGGUUUUGCAUUUAGGAAUCAGGUAAAUGAGAAAUCUGUCUAAGUUACCUGAAGAAAUCAGGUACAUGAGAAAUCUUAGACAUUUGAAUAUCCAUGGGUGUUGCUCUUUUUAUCAUAUGCCACUUGGCAUGGGUCAGUUAUGCCACCUAAGAAGACUCAACACGUUUCUUGUGGGCCAGGGAGUCCAAGUAAGCGAGUUACAAGAGUUGAAUCUUUUAGGAGGAGAGUUUAGCAUAAAGGGUCUUACAAAUAUGAAAGAUUCAUUUCAAGCUCAGAGUGCAAACUUGAAAAAGAAACAUAAUAUAAACUGUUUAAAUCACUGAGUAAAGAGCUUAACAAGAGGGAAGCUCUAACAGAAAGGAAGAAACAAAAGCCAAAGCCUUCCGUGAUAUGGUCCAAAAGCAGAAAAUCUCAACUUAUCAAGAAAACUGAAUUGAUUCCAUAUUAUUAUAUUAUCCAAAAAAGUAACACAAGAACAAGAAAUAGUAGGAAAAAUAUGGCAUCACAUCAUAUUGUAGGGCUGGUGGAAAAUUCAUGGGAAAGGAAGGUUAGUAACUUUGUCAAAUAGAACAAAUCAUGGCAUACAAGUGUAUAUAUGAGAAGGUGAUUCAAUUUAAUUCAAUGUGAUUGUAAAACUCAGUUAAGCCUAGAAAAAGAAGUUGAUAGUCACUCAAUCGAUUGACUUAUCUAAUCAUGCGAGUUUGGAGUACCUGUUUGGCUUCAACUUUGACUCCGAGUAGAGAACAGAAGUGCGUCAAUAGGAGGGCGUGGAGGACGAUGGACCGCCGACCAAGAAAAAGAAGUUUUAGUCACUCAAUCGAUUGACUUAUCUGAUCAUGCGAGUAUGGAUUACCUGUUUGGCUUCGAGUUUGACUUCGAGUGGAGAACAGAGGUGCAUCAAUGGGACGGUGUGGAGCGACAAUGGAACGGAGGAGAUGGACCGGCGACGAUGGGUAGGCAGCGAUGGACUGGAGAUCUAACAAGGUCUGGUCGCGCAGGCGAUCGGAGAUCGGAGGUGGGAGAGAAAUUAACUGUGGAGUUAUCGUGAAAAAGUGUGGAGGAUGCUUUGAACGAGUGGGGAGCUGUGAACUGAGGUAUCGAU